UACGAAGGGGGCUAGCGUUGUUCGGAAUCACUGGGCGUAAAGCGCACGUAGGCGGAUUGUUAAGUCGGGGGUGAAAUCGUUCGGCCCAACCGGACAAGGGCCCCCGAUACUGGCCGUCUCGAGGGAGGUAGGGGUCGAUGGAACUUCCGGUGGAGCGGUGAAAUGCGUAGAUAUCGGAAGGAACGCCGGUGGCGAAAGCGAUCGACUGGACCUCUUCUGACGCUGAGGCGCGAAAGCCAGGGGAGCAAACGGG
rnacentral:rRNA from 1 species